rnacentral:rRNA from 1 species
CGUACACUCCUACGGGAGGCAGCAGUGGGGAAUAUUGGACAAUGGGCGCAAGCCUGAUCCAGCCAUGCCGCGUGAGUGAUGAAGGCCCUAGGGUUGUAAAGCUCUUUCACCGGAGAAGAUAAUGACGGUAUCCGGAGAAGAAGCCCCGGCUAACUUCGUGCCAGCAGCCGCGGUAAUACGAAGGGGGCUAGCGUUGUUCGGAAUUACUGGGCGUAAAGCGCACGUAGGCGGAUCGAUCAGUCAGGGGUGAAAUCCCAGGGCUCAACCCUGGAACUGCCUUUGAUACUGUCGAUCUGGAGUAUGGAAGAGGUGAGUGGAAUUCCGAGUGUAGAGGUGAAAUUCGUAGAUAUUCGGAGGAACACCAGUGGCGAAGGCGGCUCACUGGUCCAUUACUGACGCUGAGGUGCGAAAGCGUGGGGAGCAAACAGGAUUAGAUACCCGGGUAGUCCCAUGA